GGCUCAGGAUGAACGCUAGCGACAGGCCUAACACAUGCAAGUCAGGGGCAGCACAAGGAGCAAUCUGAGGUGGCGACCGGCGCACGGGUGAGUAACACGUAUGCAACCUGCCUGUAAGCGGGGAAUAACCCGUUGAAAGACGGACUAAUACCGCAUAAUACUAAAUUACUGCAUGGUAAUUUAUUUAAACAUUUAUGGCUUACAGAUGGGCAUGCGCAUGAUUAGCUAGUUGGAGAGGUAACGGCUCCCCAAGGCAACGAUCACUAGGGGUUUUGAGAGGAAGGUCCCCCCACACUGGUACUGAGACACGGACCAGACUCCUACGGGAGGCAGCAGUGAGGAAUAUUGGUCAAUGGACGAGAGUCUGAACCAGCCAAGUCGCGUGCAGGAAGAAUGUCCUAUGGAUUGUAAACUGCUUUUGCAGGGGAAUAAAGUGCAUCACGUGUGAUGUUUUGUAUGUACUCUGCGAAUAAGGAUCGGCUAACUCCGUGCCAGCCGCCGC
rnacentral:rRNA from 1 species